GCCCAACCCCCAAACAGGAAGGCUGCCAUUUUGUCAUCUGGGCACCAGGAAGAAGAGAUGGUGCGCUAUAAGUAAGGCGCAGAAAGGUUUUCCUUGGUGGCAGUGAACAAAGUGUUCUACUGUGGAGCCGUUUUCGCAGUCGCAGACACUGUGUCUGUACAGGGAGUUCCUGUCCCUGGCCCAAACCCGCAGACCAACAGCAAAGAAGGACAAGGUCAACCGUUGCCUCGGCUUUCUUUUGGCAUUAUUGCAGAGGAGCUUCACCUCACACUCGUGGAGUAUUCCUCCAGGCCUGAUGUCAGUAGAUUUAAUCUGCUCUAUAGGUUUCACUUCUGACAGUAACUGCUAUUGUAAGUUAAAAC
rnacentral:lncRNA from 1 species